CCUUCCAGCCCAGUCAGUGCCCAGCCACCGGGGAGAGCAGACCUGCCUGAGGGAGCUCCUGAUGGAGGAACCGCUGGAGCCCCGGGCAGCUGCCUGGACUGGCCGGAGAGCACCCUACCCCGCUACUGGGAAGAGCUGCCGGAGCUUCCCUGCACCACCUACGACGAGGAGCCAGUAGGCGCUUCCCCGCUACAGUGCUGUUACCCCGAGGAACCCCCGGAGCACGAUUGGCCGGACGUCCCCGAGGAACUACCCGACCUACCCCCCAGCCCGGGUUGUGAGGAACCCAUGCAGUGGGACUUCCCGGGACCAGACUCCGCGGACCAGUGCAGAGACUGAGGGCCAAAUCCAACUUCUACUGAUGUCAACAGAAAAACUUCCAUUGACUUUAAAUGGAUCAGUAAUGAACUGGCGUAUGCUCUUAGAGCAUAUCAGGAUUAAGUCUAAAGAAGUCAAUGGAGCAACACCAGUCAAAACUGAAAUAAGAAAGAGAAGAAUCAGGCAAAUUGUUUUCUGGCAAAUGCUGUGGAUUAUCUGUUGGCUGGAGUUAUUGAAGAGCCUGAAAUAUUAAUGAGCAUUAGGGUUUGGAAAGCAAACUAAAUAAAAACACUUUACAUUUUGUAGCUUUGGUUGAUAAACAGAGAAUGAUCCCAUAAUUAAAGAUAUAUCAUAAUGCCCAGCAUAAAGGGACAAAGUUGAAAGCAUUAUGGCUGCACAUCAGAGUUUAUUUCCUGACUUAUACCCCAGUAACACAAAACCAUACACAAGUGGUCCUAUUGGAGUCCUUGGGACUCCUCACAGUGUGUAAAGUUGAGCCCCUGCUAAAGUCUUUGUAUGGUUACAGCUUGACUCCUUAACUUUGUGCUUUAACAUGUGUUAGUUAAUGUUUUAGCAUGUUGUUUUAUGCCUUUGUUGGGCAUUGUGAGUGCUGAGUGCCCUGACAAUCAGUGCUGGAAUACAUUUGUAUUCUUGAUAUACCAGGCAGCACGCUAGCUAUUGUAGUGUACUCAUCCUGCUGAUUUCUUAAAUUCUGUACUGUUAAAUAAUGCACAAUAACUAACAUAAAAUAAAAUAAAAUUUAAAAAAG